UGAUAAAAAUUUCAUCUAUUUGUACGUAAAAAAUUGGUGUGGUUGACGGAUAAUCAGACAAUAGCACGUGACUUGUCACGUUUAUGUCAUGUUGAUGUACAAUGACUAGUUUUUAAUUGUAAAAAUGGAUGAAAAUUUUCAUAA
rfam:Gossypium raimondii Chr06_contig_9, whole genome shotgun sequence.